GAGUUUACCACUUAUCCCUGAUUUUCUUAAUAUAUUCGUGGAUAUUAAUCUUUUUAGUCAUCUACCUUACAUCUAUACUAUAAAGAAGAUAUAAACUUUGGAGUUGUUCGAGCCACCAAAAGUCAGAAUACUCGAGAAACAAUUCGAUCUGAUAAGUUUUAUAAUAGCCACAAUUCCACAUAUGCCACUAUCACCACUGUUAUUUUGAUAACGCUACAGAAAUACUGAAGGAACUCAUUAGUUAAUUUGUGGAGUAUUACUUAAUAGAUGGUUUUCAAUAGAGCAUAACAAAUGUUUUAGGUUAUUGAGAUUUAGUAGCAACGAACAAAAUGCAUAGACAGGAUGUAACACUAUCUUCAAUCUCUAUAAACAGUGUAAAAUCGUAUAUUUUAUAAUUUUAUUAUUGUCUUCUUAUAUUUAAUAAAUAAAUAUAGUUAUAUAUUAAAAGUUCAUAUAUUUGCUGUUGAACUAUAAUAACUGCAGAUUGGUGGUUGAAACGCAAUAAAACUCAGUUGUUACAUCCGUAACAAUGCACACUUCUAGGUGUUGUUACAUGCUUAUCAAAAUCCUCGUGGCAUCAAACUUACUGAUGCACUAAGAAGAAAAAGAUUCACGUCUGUCUUUUGAUAAAGACGACAUCCUUCUCGGCAGCGACACCGAUCGGAUUAUUGGGCUGACGAACAAAAGGCACGUCAAAUCCGACCAGCUCAGCGAUCGGGACUGAGUAUAAAGGAAUGCCGAGGAUUAUCGUACGCACACCAUUACGGUACGUGCGAUAACGGGCAUUUUAACAGAGAUGAAACCCAGCUUGGAAACCGCGAGCUUUUUUUACGUAUACAAUUUUACAGACUAAUUGUUUAUACUGAUUCAAAAAUAAAAAUAGAUCAUUAAUUAUAAAUAUAAUUACAGCUAUGGUCUAUUUAUAAAUUGUUGUACAACAAAAUAAGUAAACCAAUACCAGUACC